AGCUGACCUGUGAACGCGUGUUGUUCCAAACCCACACCUGCACUGGGGAGGUGGUUUACUAUACAGCAAAAUCUGAUUGACGCACCUUCCUCAUCUCGGGUGAUGUAUGUGGGGCGUGGCAGGGAAUUCGGUGUGUCCGGAGCAUGGCAGGGCUGCCAGAAGGUGGGAAGAGAGAAGAGUGUGGCUGGGGCCAAGUGCGUUUCUGAUGGCCUGGACUGGCGGAAUGAGAACAGGCCCCUCAGGCCAGGAAAUCAGGCCAGUUCCAGGGAAAGGGCCUCCUGCCAAGGUCCUGGCCAGUCCCACUGACCUGCCUCUAAGCUGCUGGAGUGACUUUGGACUCGUUGCUUCCCUGUCUGUCCUGGGAAGGGGCCCCAGCCCACGGCGUACCUGGUCCCCGCAGUUGCCAGUCUCAGGCAUCUCACCGCCCCUUCACCUGUCCUUAAACUCACUUCUGUCACGCCUUGGAGAGGGACCCUGGCAGCCACCCUCAGGAGGCUGCCCCCAGCCCCAGAGAGCGCUGGGCCUGUCGCCCUGGGCUCCUCCUGGUGUUCUGAGAACAUGGUGGAUCCUGAUCAGGCUGGGAGGGAAGCGACAGUGGUGCCCAGCAAAGCAGUCAUCCCGUCCGUGCCUGCACAUCUCCAGGGCUGGUAUUUGUUUAAUCGGCUUGCUUUUCUCUAAAAGCUUUUUUUAAAAAAUCAAAGUUGGAGGGUUUUUUGUAAUAAACUUUUUAUUUUAAAACAGUGUUAGAUUUACAAAAAUUUUGUGAAAAUAGUUGAGAUGGACUUACUUCUUUAACUUUAUUUUAAAAUGAAAUGUUUCAUUAUUUCCACAAAUGGGAAACCAGCAUGACUUGCCUCAACUAGACCUUAAUCUUAAAAAUGAACAGUGAAAGCAAAACAAUGUUAUUAAAUUUUCAAAACCGAAAUAAAAAAUUAACAGCCUGAUGCAAGCAGUAGUAAAUCUGAUCGAUUUACAAAAAUGCAGUCUGUGCAGUCAGCUGGGGUGUGUGUGUGUGUGUGUGUGUGUGUGUGUGUGUGUGUGUUCGCGCACAGGCGUAAGAAGAGGCAGGCAUAAACCCCUCCACAGUGCAGGGCCAUCACGGGGUGCCAUGUGACUUCCCCAUGGCCCACAUUAAUGACCCUCUGAGAGCUGUCCAAGGAACCCACCACCCAUAGCACAGCCUGCAUUUGCCGAGCACCUGCCUUGUGUGGGCACCAUCUGACAACUGACACAUAGUAACCCAUCACAGCCUCCCAGCAACCCGCUGGGGUGUGUGUGUGGGGGGUAGGUACUGUCAUUCCCUCCAGUGGUAAUGAAGAAACUGAGGCAGUUUAAGUAACUGGUUCAAGGCCACAGCCAGGAGCCACACCAAGGCAGCUGGGAGCCAAAGCCUACACUUUUAACUGCUGUGUUCUGCUAUCAAGAGCAGAAAAACAGAACUGCGUUUUAAAG
rnacentral:lncRNA from 1 species